AGCCCGGUAAGUGGGGCUGGGGCCGCCAACCCCUGCGGCCCAAGGAUGGGCCCCACAGCAGCCCAGCAGAGCCAGGGCCCCCACACCAGUCCCUGCCAGGAGAGACAGCUCUGAACAGCUGCGGGGGAAGGAGGGGGGAGCAAAACUUCCCAUACACAAAGGCCCCAUCGCCAUCCUGACUGUCUCAAAGCCUCUGGGGAACACGCCUUUGCAGUCCACACCGCCCCACUGAGCAAAAGUGGUCUCAUCGGGGGUCGGGCUUGCACUAGGCCAAUGUCUGCUGGCCUAGGCCUACAGUCAAAUUCGGAGUUCAAAGACUCUGUCAAAAUACUUCCAUCCCACCUCCCUGGACCCCGAGAAGGAUUCAUAUGGGCAAAAGCUCGGGUAGGCAAGACUGUACCUGCACCCUGUUCCAUUGGCCGUGUGCCAGCGGUGCGGGACACCAGAAGCUCCAGCUCCCGACCCUGCUGGCCAAAAGCCUCUAACGCUGCAUGUUCCAAGCAUCGUGAAUGCUCCAGGCCAUCAAUUUGCUGCUCCCAGGCCACUACUUAGCCCCACAAAGACACAAUCUCCUGGUCCAGGGCUCCAAAUCCAGUCAGCAGAACCCAUCCCACCUGGCCCGCCCCUGUCACAGACCUCAAGGCAAGCCAGGCUUCCAGGAGAGACACUGUGGUGAAAAAGGCAACUACAGAGGCUGAAGAUGUCUCAUGACACAGGGGGCCGGUGACAUGGCCCCCCAGUCCUUGAUCUCCUCCGCAACCACUGCAGGGUUACUCUGGGGAACUGCCAAUUCUACACCAAAAAUGUAAAGUGAACGUACUCAUGUAUUCUUCCCAAGAAUUCCAAGGCAGUGGAAGGAUUUAAAAAAAGGUUUAUUUCCAAUUCAAGAACCAGUUUUUUAUGAUACGGCGCAUCAGGCCUCCCAGGAAAAAAGGUAUUGCAGUACAUAAGAAAACUUUCUGCGUGGGAGAUGGCCAGGGAGCAAGGAUGUUCUUGGGAACAGAAUGGUGAAGGUGAGAAAACAAAGACUUUCUGCCUCUUUGGAGAUAAAAGCCAGACAACAUUAGCUUCAGAAAGCAGUGUGAAGGUUUUUUAUUUUGAAGGGGAUAUUGUAAGCCUUUUGGUUUUGCUAAAUAUUUUUAUACCAUGAGAAAUCUCAAUUGCUUAUUUUUUUAGUUUAUGUCUAUGAGAUUUCGAUCAAAAUAUUCAGGGAUGUGUGUAUACAAGUUGUGUCUAUAUACAUAAAAAUACGUACACAUAGGUUUUUAAGUCUUAGAUGUGGUUUUAUUUGAGGUAUAGGGCGAAGCUGCAUAAGAAAAUGUGCCUUUAAUAUACAAUCACUAUAUGGCUGUAAAUAUGUAGCUCUUCCUAUAACAUCCAUGUACCAGGAAAACAUUUUACUAAAUACUGAUAUAUUUCUCAUAUUAAUUACUGACUGCCUUUUGUCUUGUUUUGUUGUUUCAGCUUAUGCAUGGCAUUCCUCAAAUCAGCUGUAGUAUUAAUCUUAUACUCAUCUUGACAUAGUGAAUUUUCUUUACAUACACAAGUCUGGCAUGUCUUUCUCCCAGAAAUGCUGGUGGGUGAUUUUUUUCCUGAUGUUUAAGGAGUGCACUGUCCAGCCUGUUGCAUACAUUUCUGAUUUUGGAAGUAAUGAGUGAUUAUAUUACAGUAUAUUUUAUUAUAUUGCAUGUUCUUAUUUGAAUAUUUUGAAUAACUUUGUAUAUUACAUUUGUUAAAAAAACAAACCAAACCAAACAACACCCCCCAGAGAACCCUCCCCAGCAACCAAGUGGUAGAUAUUUAUCCAAACAAUCUAAACACAAAGUUUUUCUUGGGUUUGAGGGAGCAAGUGUGAAGUAGAGAACGAGGGAUAAAGUCCUAGUUGGAAGAAACGGCCAUGAAUAUUUGAAUCAACCGUAGUCCUUUAGAAUGUCCAAGUUUGAUUUUAUAAACGACUAAAAUCUCUUAGAUCUGCUGAUAACUACUGAGAUUUAAAUAAAGAAAAUUGUGAUAA